rnacentral:rRNA from 1 species
AUUGAACGCUGGCGGAAUGCUUUACACAUGCAAGUCGAACGGCAGCACGGGGGCAACCCUGGUGGCGAGUGGCGAACGGGUGAGUAAUACAUCGGAACGUGCCCAGUCGUGGGGGAUAACGUAGCGAAAGUUACGCUAAUACCGCAUACGAUCUACGGAUGAAAGCGGGGGACCGUAAGGCCUCGCGCGAUUGGAGCGGCCGAUGUCAGAUUAGGGAGUUGGUGAGGUAAAGGCUCACCAAGCCGACGAUCUGUAGCUGGUCUGAGAGGACGACCAGCCACACUGGGACUGAGACACGGCCCAGACUCCUACGGGAGGCAGCAGUGGGGAAUUUUGGACAAUGGGCGCAAGCCUGAUCCAGCCAUUCCGCGUGCAGGACGAAGGCCUUCGGGUUGUAAACUGCUUUUGUACGGAACGAAAAGGCUCUGGUUAAUACCUGGGGCUCAUGACGGUACCGUAAGAAUAAGCACCGGCUAACUACGUGCCAGCAGCCGCGGUAA